GUCCAGGGGCGGGAAUCGAACCCACAACCUUCUGCUUACCGGGCAGGUGCCAUGUCCACUAGGCUACCUUAAA